rnacentral:lncRNA from 1 species
GUCAUCACAUUGCAAUUUUUUUCAGGUGGUGGGUUGAACUUGGAGCGAAUAAGAUGACCUUCUGUAGGGAUAGGCUAGUGGAACACUAUUUUUGGUGUUGUUCAAUGGUUUUUGAACCUCAAUAUACAACAUUCAGAGAAAUGACGACGAAGCUCACUUGCAUGGCAACACUUACCGAUGAUGUUUAUGAUGUGUAUGGGAUGUUGGAAGAGCUUGAGAUCUUAACAGAUUUCAUUGUGAGGUUCGUGUAAUAUAAUCACCACCAUCAUUUUCCUUCAAAACUGUAAUUGCCAAGAACAAAGAGAGGGAGUUAUUAAGUCUAUGAAUGACGUUAGGGAUAGGAUUAUAUUUUUAUGAAUUGAAUUUUUUAAUGUGUUUUGGACACAUCAUUUUUUAGUUUAGCUUUUUUUCCUCUAUCUGGUUGAUUUGAUUGAGCUAAUAAAGCAAUCACAAGCACUAGUUUUCAUCAUUGUUACUAAAAAGUAUUUUGAUUGACGGUAAAACAUUUAAAACUGUUAAAAUCGUGAUAUUUUGUCUAGGUGGGACAUCACGGACGUUGAUAAGCUUCCUUUGAUAAUAAGGGCUUGUUUCCUAGCCUUAUACAACACGACCAACGAAAUUGAGUAUUGGAUGAUGAGAGAGCGAGGAAUCAACCCUAUCCCUAACCCUAGCUUGCGCAUGGCAACUCGUUUCUUUGUGUUAACACCUAAAUUUUAGCGAUCUGAUCAUUUAUUUAUUGCAUAAAAAAUUAUGGGUCAAUUUUAUCCCUGAAAAAAAUAUUAAUUGCAUAUAGAUUCAGGUGCAUUUAUUUUUAAUUUACAUUUUUUGCAUUUUAUUGGAUCGAUAGUGGAUGGUUCUAACCUUUAAUUUGGCAGGUCAGACUAAGCCUACGAAGCAAGUAAAUUGGCCCGGGCCCGUUUUCUUUUAAUGACAAAAAUUACCUAAAUAGAGAUUUGAAAUGAUAUUACGGUGGAUUUUUGAAAUUCAAGAAAAUCGGGUUGCAAUCUUAUCUUUAGGCGAUAAAAUCAAGAGAUGUGGAAAAAAGAAAAAAACGAUAUUGCUUACGAAAAAGAAAUCUUCAAGGAUGUUGAUUUGAAAAGGAAAUUAAAAGCCUAAUCUUCAGUCUAUAAAAGUGUUUUUCGCGUAGGGUUUCAGAGGGGGUCACUCAAUAGAAUACACGGCCAUUGAUAAAAACACAUCAAGGAAUGUAUACGUGAGAGAGAAGGUUGGCGGAGCCUCCCUAUAAUCCAUUGAUCCCCUUGCCGUCUGUCGAUCCUGAUGCCUACUAUUGCACCGAUGCUGCCUUGUUUGAUGAUAUCCAUCAACGACUUUGCUUGAUAGUCAACACCUCCGUCUAUCGCAUCGUGAAGCGGAAGCAUCGCGUCGAUCCGCUGCACCUCACCAGCUGAGGCCACGCAAUUGAGACGGUCGGCCACAUGGAGGGGGGCUUCAUAAAACAAAGAGACGGCCACAAUUCUGAGACGAGCAGAGAAUGGAGAGAGAGCGAACAUUCUACACAUGAAGGAGAAAACGUGAAGAAGGAGACCUGCCCCUGGCCAAUUGAAGAUCCCGUUGCCCACUAAAUCUUCAAAGUCAAAUUCUUUUUGCUACCGUGGAGAUUCACACACAUUCUCCAUCAACAUCUCACUUUCAUCUCCUUUCUCUCUCGAGGGAAUUCACGCACAAGUCCUCGAUUGCAUAUAUUUUACUGUUGUUUUGCUUCAGCGACGAGUUGAUGUUCAAGAUCUCUACAGGCAUCCCCGACGUAAGCCACAUCCGUGUGGCCUAUUAGGGCAUCUGCAGAAUCCCCAGCAACGACAAAUACUGGUCUUUCUUUGCAGGUCUCGUGGAACACAAUAGGGAGACACGUUCGAAAUAGAAGGCUCACAAAGCAAGGAGAGCGUCCAGCAAAGUGUGUCCCUUGGGGGGCCAUUGUUCGUGUCCAUCGAAGCUUGAUUAUCACGCCUUAAUUAGGCGAGCGAAGCCGGUCAAAAUUUCUCCACCGUCUGGACCUUGCGGAGGGUACACGUAGCAAGGGAAUCUCUACUGAAUCAUUAUCCUCCACUAUAAAUCUUGGUGCAUAUAUAUAAAAAGAAAACAAAGAAAGGUUUACACCUGCUCCUAAUCAUCUUCGCAAGUUCCUAGUGUUGCAAGCAUUGGGAGUUAGCUGUGCACCUCCCCACUGCUUUGUGAGCCAUCACCUGUCUCAAAUCAUCGAGGCAUCACCGUGGGUCCACCAUCUCGGCUGUUGUCUGAGCCGAACCACCGUCUGUAGUAGAUUGCCACCACGAUCCACCACUAGUCGCCAUCAACCACCACAGCAAGCCGUCCUUACGCCAUCACGUCGAGCCUCUAUCGUGAUUCACGGGCCGCCAUUCGAAGACCAAAUUUGGAAGCAAUAUUUGGGAUAGGUAAAAAUUUUGUCUAUUCUAAUUUCCGAAAAUUUUAUUUCCUUAUUUGAUAUAUUAAUUGGUGCACAUGAUGGAAAUUCUUGAUAUGCCAUGAUAUUCACAACUCGAGUAGCCUCAUAAAUUAGGAAAUCUUCCUAAUUUUGCAAUGUGCACAUGAUUGACAGUCCGAUUUCAUGCUCGAAAUACGACUCGCAAUCGCACGGAAAAAUCGCCAAUCCGAUCUCACGCUCGAGAUAUGAUUCGCGAUUUUAUUUGAAAUUGGCCAAUCCAAUCUCAUGCUUGAGAUAUGAUUCAUCAAUUUAUUUCCAAAAUGGACAUGGAUGAUAUUUUGUUGGAUUUGUUGCAGUGAUGUUCUUGAUGCCUUUAUUUGUUUGCUCCCGUAAAAGAAAAAUUAAAAAAUAUUUGAGUUAGAUUAGAUGCAUGUUAGGAUAUUACUUGUUUUAGGAUGUUAGAUUUUCUUUAAUUUAAAUUGCAAGUUUAAUUAUGUGUCAAUCUUAAUUUCGAAUUUUAUAAAAAAAAAAUACAAAAAAUCAUCAUGCAUAUGUCAUGUAGAAUUAGGGCAUUCUUUGUACGUCAUGGCAUAUUAGGAUAAAAUCGCAUGUUUCAUUUAAGUUUAGAUUGAUUUUUUAGAUAGACUGCAUCUUAGGUUAGAGAUUGCUAGGUUAAGAUAAUAUCUUAGUUUAAAUUAGGAUUUAGUCUAACCUGAUUCUUAAUAUAAGCUGGAUAGAAUCUUAAUUUAGAUAGAUAAUUUUUGCAUUUUUCUUAAUUUCGAAUUUCAUGGAAAAUACAAAAAUUGUUAGAAUAAAUUAGUUAAUUCUUUGGGAUAGAUUGCAUAUUCAUGUCAUAUAAUUUAGGUCAUAUUGCCAUGUCAUGUCAUUUCAUGUUAGAUUAGUAACAUGUCAUUGCAUAUAGAUUAGAUUCUCAUUAAAAAAAUGAAAACAAAAAAAGAAAUUGCGUGUUAAUUAGAAAUCAUAUCUAGGACUGUUGAUGUGAAUUCUGAUCUAACAACGCAGAUGCUUUCGUUGCUAUGAAUUAAGUCCUGCAAUUUAUUUAUUGUUUUACUUGGGUCUUAAAUUGGUAAUUUGCGCACCCGCAUGAUCGCUUUAUAUGUUAGGAAAAUAGAUUUAAAAUCAAUUUAAGCUUCCUGCAAAAGCAUUUUUGAAAAUAAAAGAAUGGUACCGAAAUGACAUGAGAGAAAUCUAGUGUAACCAAGUCCCCGUACCUAGAGUCUCUGGUUCGUAGGAGUAAAGUAAAACUCCCGUUACUUUACUUGGGUUUCUAAUCGACCCACCAAAAAAUAGAUUAGUGGCGACUCCUAAAUAAAAUCUAUAUGCAUGUUAAGAAUUUGAACAUAAGUCUUAGGCCAAAUUUUCUUCUCUUUUUUUUAAUUGUUUUUGUUUAGUAGCGAAGAUUCCAGGUACGUCCCUAACAUUUAUGUGUUAAAUGUUCUUGUAGAUUAAGAGGUAUAAGGGGAGUAGUGAUUGCUAACCCUUGUCUUGCAGGUUGGAGUUGAGGAUGAAUGUUUUAAAUUCGAAGUUAUUGAAGUGUUAUUUGAUUUAAACUGUUGUACAUACCUUGCAUCUUGCACUACACUCUUGCACACACAACCUGCUGCCGGACUUGGGCCACAUAGGAUCAUUUAGGAUGGUGUUGAAAUGGAUAUCAAUCCGACCGCAUGCUCGUGGUAUGAGUCGUCCAUCUCAAUCUCGAAGUUUCUUUUAUGGUGUCAAGAGUACCCACCUUGGUCUGCAUGCCCGCGACCCAGGUCGGCUCUUUGACCAAGCCGGAGUCAUGAGGACCCGACAUAGUCCACAAGCCCGUGGCUAGUAUGAUCAUCCUUGUGGCUUCACCUUAAUAAGUCUUAUAGAUUAGAAAUCGAGCCACUUAUCAUGCGCAUGUCUAUGUGAUUGCCAUAUAUUUUCCUUGGUAAAGUAAGUAUUAUAUCCCUAUACUAUGCAAUUUACUUACUUUGUCAUACUUUUAGUUCGUCCAUGACAAUCUAGGUUAGUCGUUUGAUCUAAUUCAUUUGUCAAUUAGAAAUGAAAUAAGGAAAUUAUCAUGCAAUGAAUCAUUUGCAAUUUUUUUUUUUUUUUGAGAAUUUGUUUUCAAUUCAUGUCUAGGAAAUUUGGUCUUGUUAGGAUGUUUAUCUUUAUUUUCCUAGUCCAUUUUUAGGAAUAGCCCUUCUUGUACGAACUUUUCUUGAAUAAAAGAAAUGGAAAAAUCGAUUAGAUUAUUGUCAUGAAUUGGCUUUCUAAUGACACCCCAUGCUUACAUGUUCCUGUUCAUUUGAUUAGGUGAUUAUGGAGCGAUCUCACUCACCCAUUUGUUUACGAGCUAAAAUGACAAAUGAAAAAGAGCCUAUCUCGUCAAGCAAAAGUGCUGCGAUGACAUAAGUGCUCUAUCCUCAAUGAGAAAUUGCGACUCCAAGAAGAGAGCCAAGAAAACUUUUUGAACUGUCUCAUUUUUCUAAGGUAGCCGAAUUUGAUGCCACCAUGAAGAGAGUAGUGACAUAUUUAAAGGGAAGAAUAUCUAACUUGAAGGGUUUGCAUCACAAGAUCAAGGAGGGUGAAGAAUUCAAGUACACAUGAUUCAUGAUCCUAAGUAGUUCGAUUUCCUCAUUUAAUUAGGGACAUGCACCUUCCCCUGCGUGGGAAUUUUUAUCGUUUUUUAGGGAUUGAUUUUAAUUUCUUCUAUGCUUGAACAUCACAUUCCAAUAAAUGUAAUUCGAUUGAUGAAUAUCAAUAAAAUUAAAAAUUUUGUUUAGAGGACAUGAUGGGGUACACCAAACCAACCCGGUGACGAUAUCUAACAAUAAAAAGAAAAUAUCAUCCAUGGAGAAAUUCUAAGGACUGGGCUUCUUCAUACUUCCUCAUCAAAAAAAUUCCCAAAAAAAAGGAGAAUAAAAAAAAUACAUUUUUCAAGUCAUUUCCAAAAGCAAGCAUUAGGUUAGCCUUGUUUAAUUUUCUAACUCAUUUACUUCAUAUUUCAUAGCAUUACUUUUAUGUCCUGAUCUGAAAAUGGCGCAUCAGAUGACGGAUUGGGGGCAUGGCAGAUUUUAGUAGUGACCGGAGUGGGAUAAAAUCUCGAUCCGAGCUAAAAUGGAUGUGCAAUUUGAAUUUACUUUGAUAUUGCAUAGUAUCCUAUUCAUGCACAUUCUCUUGUGCAGGGGGCAAAAGCGGAUUUUCACUUUUGAUUGAUAGAGACAAUCUAAGGACAUCAAUUCCUGAGACAAUCCCUUUGUGGAGCAAUUCCUUGAAUGAAUGCUUAAAACCAUCUUUUGAGUGCAAUAAAUUGUUUGUUUUGAAGUCACAAAUGCUUUUCAUGCUUAAAGUUGCUAGAUUCUUUUGAAAAAAGAAUUUUCAUAUUGAUUUAGCUCACCGAUUUCAUGUGGAGAUUUGUCAAGAUAGACAACUCAAUGGAGUGACAUCAAUGUUUAAGAAUGCUGAAUGAGAUGUCUCAGGAUGAUGAAAGACAAGCCCUAUCCUAUACACAGUCCCUUAGUUAUACACUUGUGAGAUGAGUGUAAAAAGUUCCAUAUCCACAAGGUAAAGAGUUCUCGCGCGAAAGGUACGAUGACCGAAAUGAUGAGGGGCAAUUCAUUUCUCUAUCUCAAACACAAUAGGUGACCCAUUGCUUAACCCAUUUGAGCCCCCAUAAACUUGUGCAAAUUCUUUUAAAUUACCCCUGUCAAGAACCACCCCACAUUGGGGCGAAUUGGAGGGUAAGACAGCACCAUAAGGUGAAGAAAAUAUAUUGAAAUUUUCUUGUUCUCAUUUCCAUCAAUCUUCUAGUCAUGCUAUUACAUUGAAUUCAUGUGGUAAUUUAAGUGUCUUAGGAUGACGAAGAGCAUUUCUUUCACUAUCCUAUACACUUAUAUCCUUUGCAUAGCUCACUUGAGCCUGUAAUUUCAUUUCUUUAAACGCGGUUGGUGAUCAUCCCCUACACUGGGGCAAGACAAAAGACAAAUGAAGACUCUUGAAAGGUUCGAAUGUUAUUCAAAGUGUAAUUGCUUGACGCAUGCAUAGAAAUCAAAAUAGAACUAAGGGGCAUGAAAAAGUAGUGUGCCUGGUAAAAGUAAGGCCAAUGCCCAUGAAAAAAAAAAGUGAUGAUGAAAAAGAACUAGGGGCAUGAAAAAGCGAUGUGCCUGAUAAAAGUAAGGCCAAUGCCCAUAGAUGAAAAAAGAGAGUCAAGAUAAGGUGACUGUCAAUUGUAAGAAUUGAAUCCCGAUGGAGCAAAUACUCAAAGAACUCAAAAGUUAAGUUUUUACAAUCAAUGGGGUAUUUCAUGAAGACAAUCCCUAAUGAUGAAAAAGAAAACUGGUGGCAAUGUCAAGAUGAUCACCAACUUUCACCAUUCACACACAUUUUGAGCCUAAUGAUCUUUUCAUUUUUCAACCCAUAAACCCAGCCUAUGUUACAUCCUUUACAAAGUCUCUUUAGAUUAUGGCACUUGAAUUAACAUAAGAGUUCAUAUGUUUAUAAGUAUUGCUCGAAAAAGUGCGAGCAAGAUUAUUUAUUUCUCAUUUUGCAAGGUUCUUGACUUGUAAACCCGGAUAUGAUUAUAGAGUUGUUCUUUCAAUAGCCUUGACUCAAAGAGUCCCUUUGUUAAGCUGUUGACCGAGCCCACAUUACGGUCCCUAUUAAAGACCUCUCAAAUUGGUAAGGUCAUACCGCUUGCAAGAAUACUCGGACCCUUGUUGGUAUGAUGAUAGUGAGAUUGAGUGAUUCUCAUAAAAUAACCUAUAAAUAAAAGUGAGUGAAAGUCAUUUCUAACUGAAGGUCUCUCAUUUAGUAUUCUUAGGAAAUCCAUGUCACGAGUGAAAAUUAUCUUGAACAAUAGAUCUCUCUAAUGGAAAUUUGGGUGAUGCAAAUGUCUUUAUGCAUGAACCUCGAUUGAAUUAAUAAAAACUUCAGUGAAUUUUGAAGUGUGCAUCGCAUAAUAGCCUUAAUUGUUUAUUUCUUAGGUAAAUGCAUUUUUACUCUAAAUCAUGUCUGACAGGUAAUGUUUUCUCAAAGAUCCAAGAGUUCAUGACAUUCAGGUUCCUUUCAGAAUGCCUCAUGAUGUAAGGAAAUGAGAAACCUUCACGAACAUUCAAGGUGCAUCCUUGAUGUUCCAAAAAUUUAUUUCUACUAGGAGGUGAAAGAUCUCAACAGGAUAUCUAAAUUCUAGAAGACAUAUCCCUAAGGAACAGAGAUGUCACUAGAUAAGUAUAUUUCUAUCCAUACCUUAAAUACUUGUCGUUGCAUAGGUAUUCCCCUUUUGAAUACAUUGACACUCAAUUGAGUUGUCUCCAAAGAUCUCUCUCCAAAUUCAGUCUGAUUAAGGUGACCGAAGAACAGUUCAGGUCCUGGUCAGAUGAUCUGUGUUGCAACGCUGGGCGACCGAAGAAUUGUCCGGGUCCUAGCAAGCAAAAUCUCCGUUUAGGUGAACGUAGAAUGGUACAAGUACAACAUUUAUUGCUCUAACAGGCGACCGUAGAAUAGUACGGGUCAUGAAAAAUCAAUUUUCCGUCAAGGUAACCGUAGAAUGGUACGGGUCCUUGACAACACAUAUUCCUUAUUCAGGCGACCGUAGAAUGGUACGGGUCUUGGAAAGUGAAUUCCCGUUUAAGUGACUAUAGAAUGGUACGGGUCCUAAACAACAUUUAUUGCUCUAAUAGGAGACCGUAGAAUGGUACGGGUCCUAGAAAAGCAAUUUCCUCAUUCAGGCAACCGUAGAAUGAUACGAGUCCUGAAAAACUAAUUUUCCAUCAAGUCGACCGUAGAAUGGUGCGAGUCCUCGAUGACAUCUAUUUCCCUAUUCAGACGAUUGUAGAAUGGUACGGGUCCUGGAAGGCGAAUCCCCAUUUAGGCGAUCGUAGAAUGGUACUGGUCCUAGACAACAUCUAUUUCCCUAUUCAGGUGAUUGUAGAAUGGUACGAGUCCUGGAAGGCAAAUCCUCGUUUAGGCGACCGUAAAAUGGUUCGGGUCCUAGACAACAUCUAUUUCCAUAUUUAGGUGACCAUAGAAUGGUACAGGUCUUGGAAGACGAAUCCCUGUUUAGACGACCGUAGAAUGGUACGGGUCUUGGAGAAUCAAUUUUGUCAAGGAGACCGCAGAAAAGUACGGGUCCUAGACACAACCCAACACUGUCAUAUUAGGCGACCGUAGAAAGGUACGUGUCCUGAGAAAGCAGUCUCUUUGCAAAGCCAUGUUACUAUUCUGGGCAACCGUAAAAUGGUACGAGUCCUGGACAUGUAACACCAACUAUCUCGAAUUACUCUAUCCUCCUUGAAGGUAAGUUAUUCCAAGUAGGUUCAUUUAUCAUUUGCAUUAGCAUUUCCAUGCAUCAUAUAAAUUGAAUUUCAAAAUGAAAUUCAUUUUUCAACAAAAAAAGUCAUUCAAUGCAUGUGUAUAGUCAAAAUUUAGGUCUCAAUUUGUCUUUGAAGGCAACCUCUACGAGCUCACCUUCAAAGAAGGGCACUUUGCUUCUACCUUUCCAUUAUGACUUCUCUUUUAACAUUUGAGAAUCCGAAAGAGUAUGAGAAAAGAUCAUCCCUCAACUUGGUCAGUCCAUGAAAGGACUGGCCUGUCGUGACAUGUUCACUGACCUAGUGCCAAAGUUGACUUGGAAACGAUAUGCCUCAAUAUCGCAUUGAGACUAAGAAAGGACCGAUCUGUCGUGAUCCUGCGUUUGUCCAAGACCAACAAAACUCAUUUUCGAAGCUCAGGGUGUGAUGUACAUGCACUCAUGAAAUAGUUUAAAAUAGUUUUGUAAGGAAAUAACAAAUUUUCACAAAAACACUUCUCAAAUCGGUCUGAGUUAAAGCAAAAACCAAAACAUAUCAAAUAAACACACAAACUGAACUUCUUCCAAGCAACUCAAACCAAAGCACGAGCCAGAGCUCAUCAAUUAAUGAUCGAACUCAAUCAAGGAACAAGGUCUAAACUAAUCCAAGCAAAUACAAUUGAACUUCAAGCAACAACAAGUCAAUCAACUUUGGUCAAAUACUCACUCGGAAUAGCGUCACAACGUCUUAGCCAAAUAUUAGUAGAUUCUACUUACCACUUUCUAAGUUGGUGGCCUUGAAUUGACAAUGACGACAAGCACGACAACAAGGGCGGCAACAAGAAUUCCUAGGGAAAAGAGGCCAAACUUUGAUAGGAAGAGAGAGAGAGAAGGUGGUGUGUUGUGGGAAUGAGAGAGGGAUGCCCCAUAUUUAUAGGCAAUUCUAACUUGUUCUCCAAGCCUUAAAAGUCAAGACUUCCUCUCUAAGUCAAGAAUUAUUAAAUGCAAGGUAACUUGAUCACUAAGUCUCAGGAUAUGAUAGGAAUUAGCUUGGUAGCUUAAGACACCUCAACAUGGCAUUUAAGGAUUUGAUUCCAAGCUUGGGUGUGACUCACAUCUCCUGGGUGAGAAAAAUAAUUUUGAACAAUUUUCGAAAUUAAUAUAUUUACCUUGCCAAAUGGAAUCGAAAAAUUAUGAAAUUUUAAUAUAUUUUAGGGAGGACCUUAAAUAAAUUUUUUUAUGAGAAAGUAAAGUCAAAUUCAUGUUGUGAAAAGAGUAGAAAAUCGCCAAACACAACCCAAUAAUAUGCUCGUCAAGCAGAUCCAACGUCUACAAAGAAUGACCCAUUUAAAAAUCUAAAUCUUUACAAAACUCUUUGAAUUUUUUAUAUAUUGUAUAAAUGGAUGUCCUUUAAAAAUUUUAUGAAGGAAACAUGGUUAAAUUUGAAAGGGAAAAUUUUAUAAAAUUUUGAAAAGGUAAUCUAAUAACUGUUUUUACUAAACUGAGCAGAUUCCAAAUAGUAAAUGAUUGGGCUUUCGUCCUAACCAAUUUAUAUUAGAAAAAAUUGAAAUUUAAGUAUGUUGUAGGUCAAGAUAUUUCGAACAACUUUCAAGAAGGAAGUUCUUCCAAAUUCGGAUCAAAAAAAGCUUUAUAAAAUUGGAAAAUAGUGAAGGUCCAAUAGUUUUGAAAAUCAAAAAGCAUUAAUUGUUGGGCAUCCUUAUCUUCCAAAUUUCCAACUAGGUCCUAGGUUAGCUUGGACACUUUAUCUUGACAUUAAAUAACUAGAAGCCAAAUGUAUUUAAUUCACUUUUAUCUUGUCCAAGAAAGCUUGACUUGCUUGCUCCUUCUUCUAAUAGGCAUGUAGUCCCUUUAUUGGCCUCCAAGAUCUCCUACUUAGUUUAGGGUUACAAUUAGGCUAGGCUAUAGGGACAAAUAUUCCUUAGUAGCCCACACUUCAUUAAAUAUGUUUACAUGUGUUCACAUUUGUUCACAAUUAGUUUCUAAGACCUAAGUGUGAACCCUAAGUGUCAACCUUCCUAAUUAAGCUUAGGUGUCCUCCUCAUUAAUGAGCCAAAGUUAAAGUUUCAAACUUGUUUUCCAAGGCAAAAGCCUUUCAUGCCAAGUAUCCACCCUUAGUCAAGUGCACUAAUUAACUACAAGCCAAAAGCAUUGAAUGCAUUUUAGGAAAAUAUCUAAAUUUUGAAGGCCUUAUCAUUGGGCAAGGAUUAAUCAAGUUUGAUCGCAACCGAUAACCUUAUUUGGCUUGAGGUUCAUGCCUAAGCCAUGCCCAAACAAAACCAAAUGCAACUCGGCUUGAUUGGCCAUGACCGGCAUAAUGACCGAAUGGAAUCACCUGCGAUCAGUGUAAUGAUUGGACGGAAUUGAGCCAUGACAGUCCGUCGAUCCGUGAUGGUACGUGAUUGUCCCACAACCGAUCUUUCUGGUCGAAUAACAUUUCCAUGAUCAAACACCCUAGGACCAAUCCCUUGGUUGCCAAUUCCCGAUGGGCUAAUCGGCUCAUGAUCGACCCUUGAGUCAGCUCAUGGCCUAGUCUCGCCCUUGACGUAUUGGACUUUGGCCUACUAGUCAGGGCCAAAAUAUGGAUUUAAAUCGAGGAUGUUACAAUACAAAUACACUGGAAAUGCUCUAGUCCCCACUUUGUGUAAUCAAAAGAGCGUAAUAGAAACUGUAGCAAAAAACCAACUAGGUAACGUAAAACACGAACACAAGAGGUUUACCGUAGAUAGCUAAACUAGGGGAAAACCAUGGACGAAGCUCACCCGAACUUCCCAUGACAUGAAAUGGGAGUACAAAAGGUUUUCUCUAAUCCUACAAGCGAGGAUGCCGAAAAUUCUCGAUUCUAAUUAUACCUGUAAUAGUUGGACUUCUGUUGACUAGGUGAAAAAAGUGGGGGUCCCACUUGACAUUUUUUUUUUCCUAAGAGGGAAACAAAAGGAGUUGGAAAAGUCAAUAAAGCAAAAAGAGAGGGGAGGAGUCUCGGUUAAAUAGAAGCUGAGAGCUCUCCCGACCAAAAAGAAAGGAAAUAAAGAGAAAAGAAGGAGAAGUAGAAGAAGAAGAAGAAGAAGAAGAAGAAGAAGAAGAAAAUAAAGGGGAAGAAAGGAAAUGGUGUUUGGCACAUGCAUGCCGCAGACACCUCACCAAGCCGACUCGACUCCAUAACAUAACGUCCAGUAAGAGAUUAAGCCCAUCUUUCGUCCAAUCGAAGUAUUUUUCGAAUUUAAGGCUCAAAUUCAAACUAGCUGCUAUCGAUGGCGACUUUUGAAAGUAGACUUUGAGUAUGGUUUGAGACUAUGUUUUUUGAGUGGAAGGACGGCCGUGUCAUCCCAUCCCUAUAAUUUUUGGGGUAUGACAUACCCGACAUGCUUCAAUUCAAUCAUAGAAAUAUUAAGAUGUUGUAUCUUUUAACCACAAGGGCAUAUGAUGUUAAUGGCUCAUGAAACUCAACACUUCUUUUUUCUUCCUUGUUCUUUUGACUCGAACGAUAGUAGUUGAAAGUUCAGCUUUUAAGCUUUCUAAAGCACUGAAAACCACAUGAUUGUAUCGAACCGGCACGUUUCAUGGAGGAACGCCAGAGCGUUCCCAAAUAAGCAACAGCAGGGUUCAUCCCUUCACAGAACAAUAAGAAUUGAACGACUGAAAAUUUUACCCACUUGAUCACCACUCAAAGGAAAGGGAGAGCCUGGAAGAACUACCCUCACUUAUUUCCUCUACUCGAAAAACAACCACCUUUUCCUUCAAACCAGCUCUUGAUCUAUCAUUUUUUUUUUCUCUUUUUUAUAUGUUUAUUCAAUUCCGCGCUUGAUUGGCUCGCUCCAAUCAAAGAGCGGAUCGUUCUCAAUAAAAAAAAAAAAGGGCUAGAUUUUUCCCUUUGAAGGGGCCCCCGGCCCUCUGGGGGAGGAAGAAAGCAUGAGGGAAGGAAAGUGAGAUCAAUAUCAUGAGACAAUAGGAAAUGUGAAACGACCCCAUCUUACGAGAGAUGGCUAGGAGCAUGCCUUGUGAGGUUAGCGAUGGGUAGAUAUGAGUCGAAUCUCACAUCGCUUGAAAACGACAAGAUAAUGUGCUCAUUUUUCAACUUCCGUAGAAUCUGUCCCUCUCAUUGUGCAACUCCUCGUACUUCAUUUGAUGUGACUUUGCUUCAAUCCAAGAUCAAUUAAGAAGAUUUGCCACAGUAGAAGAACACCCCCGAGAACUACAGAUUCUCAUUUUUCCACGUCCGUACAAUCUGUGCCUCUCGUUCUCCAACUCCUCCUUCAUUUGCUAUAACUUUGCUUCAACCCGAGAUCAAAUAUGAAGAAUUGCCACACGUUAUCUGCAAUGCUGGGCAUCGAGAUCAGCAGUAGGAUUACGUGAUUUGUGAUUUUGGCAUGGAGAGUGAAGGCCUUUAGCUUCUAGAGCGGAGGCCCUUCCAGCUCGGGAUUUCCUGCCACGUUUUAAUCAUUUCGUUAUACUGUGCUUUGGACCUGGCUACGACGUGACAUCCCAGAGUCGUGAGAAGGACAUCCUUUUACAUUUUCUUACUAUUUCUACUUCGACUUUGGUGUGUCGUCGCUAGUUUUCUUUCCCAUUUUUGCCCUUUCUUUCCCCAUUUCUUGCAAUUUACUUGAAAUCUGUAAUUACUUCAUUUAUCUAUCUAAUCUUUAAAACUCUUUCAAGAGGAUGGAGCUUAUACCGAAGACUAUUUGAUUGAUGAAACGAUGCUAGUGGUCAAGAUGAGAUAAAUAGUCGAACUGAAUAGCUGGUGAUAUCCUAUUGGUGCUAGGAAUCUAUCAUGUAAUAAUAUAUUAUUAUUGUCAAUAUCUUUUCUGUAUUUAAUCUAUUACUGUGCAUGGUCGAGACGUAAAUUUUGACAAUUUUUCUAUACCUUUAUUUAAAAUUCUAGAUACCGUGUUUCUAGGGUUUUCAUGAUGUUUGGCCUUCAAAUUAUUUCUACAUUGUCUACUGUAGCUGAUUCACUUUUAUUAGUAUAUCUUAAAGGAGGCAACAGGUUUAUUGAAUUCUUCAGGGAAAAAAAAAUCGAAAGAUCCAUAGAGAUUUUAAUUACAAUGAUAAUUCGUAGAGGAUUUUCAAUAAUUCUGAAGCACGGUGUUCUUGUUUGUCCAAAUCAUUUAUUGCGUGUCUAGGACAAUCACCUUUUGAAAUUCAAUCAAAAGAUAAGAGCAUCAAUUACGAAGCUCCAUGAAUCUGUUGAAUGAAUGAAAACGUGCUCCGAAAGCAACUACAAACAUUUUCCUGACCAGUUGUCGCGACCCAAUUUUUUCGGGGGUGAACCACCUAGAGUUUGGCUAAUGGAUUGUUAAGCCUAGACUUAACUCGGGCUCUCCCAAGCCCAUACUAAUUCGCAACUUUCGGUUCAAGUUCUUAACAUGCAAAUGAUUUUCAAUCAGGAGUCGCCACUAAUCUAUUUUUUGGUGGGUCGAUUAAAAACCCAAAUAAAGUAACGGGAGAUUUACUUUAUUCCUACGAACCAGAGAUUUGUAAGUUCGGGGACUUGGUUACGUUAGAUUUCUCUAACGCCUUUUCGGUACCUUUAUCUUUUAUUUUGAAAAAAUUGUUUGGCAAGCAACUUAAAUUGAUUUUAAUUCCUUAACAUGUGAGGUGACCAUGCAGGUGCGCAAACCACCAAUUUAACACUCAAGAAAGCAAAUGAAUAAAUUGCAGGACUUACCUCAUAACAACGAAAGCAUCUGCGUUGUUAGUUUAGAAUUCACAUCAGCAGUCCUAAAUAUGAUUUCUAAUUAACACGCAAUUUUUGUUUUGUUUUCACUUAAUUAAUGAAAAUCAUGCGAUAUGCAAUGCAUGCCACUAAUUUAACAUGAAAUGAUAUGACAUGGCAACAUGACUUAGCUAUAUGACCUAAGCAAUAUGACAUAACUAAGCAUGUAGUCUAUCCUAAGCAUGAGAUGAUUUAUUCUAAAUAAUUUUUUUUGUAUUUUCUAUGAGAUUCGAAGUUAAAGAAAUGCAACACUUAAAUAUGCAAUCUAAAUUAAUCUAAUGACCUAAUUCUAAUGACGGGCAAUUUCUAAUUAAAUGAACCUAACAAAAAUCACUAAAUGACGCGCAUUGUAUAAACCUAAUUUUAUAUGACGUGCACAUGAUUUUUAUUUUCCUAAUAAGCAUGCAAUCUAUCAUAAUAUGCAAUGACGUGUAAAGAAUGCUCUAAUUCUAAAUUUUUUUAUGAAAUUCGAAACUUAAAAUUGCCAAAUAAUUAAACGUGCAAUUUAAAUUAAUGAGAAGAAAAUAUGAUAUCCUAAAUUAAUGUUUUUGGUCUUUUUAUUUAAGAAAUUCGAAAUAAAUUUCCUAUCCUAAACAUGCAACAUAACAUUAAAACCAGUAACAUCCUAACAUGCAUUUAACCUAACUCAAUUAUUAUUAUUUUUUUUUGGGUUUUUACUUUACGGGAGCAAUCAAAUAAAGGCAUCGAGAACAGUACAGCAACAAAUCAAGCAAGAUAUCAUCCAUGUCCAUUUAAUUUUGGAAAUAAAUUGACGAGACGUAUCUCGCGCAUGAGAUCAGAUCGGCCAAUUUUUAAAUAAAAAUCACGAAUCGUAUCUCAAGCGUGAGAUCGGAUUGGUCAUUUUUCCGUGCGAUUGUGGGUCGUAUUUCGAGCAUGAAAUCGGACCAUCAAUCAUAUGCACGUUGCGGAAUUAGGAAGAUUUCCUAAUUUAGGAGACUACUCGAGUUGUGAAUAUCAUGGCAUAUCGGGAAUUUCCACGCCAAUGAAUAUAUCAAAUAAGGAAACGAAAUUUUCGGAAAUCAAAAUAGACAAUUCUUUUACCUAAUCCGAAUAUUGGCUUCCAAAUUUGGACUUUGUGCAAUCGGAUAGGGAUCGCAAUCGGGGCAACAGGGCGGUGGAUGGCAGUCGUCCACGGAGGGGCUUGCGGUGAGAAUUCGGUGAGAUAAGGCAGGAUUUUUGUUGGUGUGCCCGAAGCCCUCACGAUCGUCCGCGAGCCUUUUUCCGUGUAAUCCUCUUCACGGCCGUCUCUUGUCCACUAAGACCCUCUGCUACGUCCACAAAUAUGUGUCCGUGUGUUGCAGAAUGCAAAAAUGGGGGAAGACGUCAAUAUGGUGAUGAUCAGAAUAUGGGAUCAUUCAUGAGACUAUGCUUAAAUAAAUAAAUAAAUAAAUAAAAGACACGUGGCAAGAUUUUAAUCAAAUAAGAAGCCAAGGCAUGAAUCAUAUAUCCCGUCCUGCAUGUGUCGUGUUCCCUUCACGUCUCUGUGCUGAGCGGGGGUUCAUCAGGAAGCUGCAAGCGUCUCAGGGGAAAAUUGCUGGCGCCAAUGCGCUUGGUUUGUCUCAAGGAAAUCCAGGCUUCGUCAAUGGGGCUUAGAUCUGAUCGGACUUCGCCGAGGAGGGACACGGCAGCUCUUUGCGUUGUUGAUGUUGUGGGAUAGCGAGCGUGGGCAGCAACAACUCGUCGGGACGGUGUCAAGUGGUAACAGGUUCUUCGGGAUGGCGAGCAACGGUUAGUGGACUUGCGGGUUAACCCUGCGAUGGCGAGCUGUGAUAGUUCACGAGGUGGCUCUGGAUCUCAUCAACACUGGACUGGAUUCUCAAUGUGUGAUAGUUCACCGCUGGAACUUCGUUGGACACGCCACAAGAGAUUAAGACCGAGGAAGAUUUGUGGUGAAAUUCCCCGAGCCUUUUCUUCUCCCUCUCCACGUGAUCAGAAAGUGGCCAUCUUCUUUGUGGCAGAACACAUGUGUUCUCCCUGUUUUGGCCGUGAGUAUUAUUCAAGUUCUGCACUCACGAUUUCUCUUGGUCCAUGUGUAGGACUUCUCCUCUUUGUUUCUUGACUCACGUGUAUCUCUUUGUGCUCUUGAGAAUAAAGUCUGCCGACCUCUCUCUGUGUGCCGUAUGUAUCAAUGUGUGGCCUUCUUCGAAAACCCUAUACGACUAAUCUUUUUAUAGGCUGAAGAUUAGGGUUUUAUUUUCCUUUUCAAAUCAGCAUCCGCGAAGAUUUCUUUUUCGCACGCAAUAUCACUUUUCUUUUAUUUUCCACAUCUCCUGAUUUUAUCACCUAAAGAUAAGAUUGCAACCCGAUUUUCUUAAAUUCCAAAAAUCCACCGUAAUAUUAUUUCAAAUCUCAAUUUAGGUAAUUCUUGUCAUUAAAAGAAAACGGGCUCGGGCCAAUUUACUUGCUUCGUGGGCUUAGUCCGACCUGCCAAAUUAAAGCUUAGAACUACUAAAUCAAACCCAUUUGUCACCGACCCAAUGUAAAUGCAAAUUAAGAAACAAAUGCACCUAAAACUAUAUGCUAUGCAAUUAACUAUUUUUUUUUCGGAAUAAAAUUAACCCCUAAUUUUUUAAUGCAAUAAAUGACUAAGCGGGUCGCCAAAAUUUAGGUGUCAACACUAGUGCUCCUCACCAACAUCCAUAUAAAGGAUGGUAUAGCAUAAGAUACUUGCAACAAAUUUUGCAAUGGCUCUUCCUGCUUUGCUCACAAACUUCCUCUCCUCCUCGAUCCGCCCUAACCAACCCUCUCUCUCACUCUUCAGUCGCCUUCGCUCCUCCUUCUCCUCCCCCUCCGCCGUUUCCUCAGGCGCUCGGUUUGCGAAAUGUGCUUUGACUAUUGAAGAUGAAGAUACCGCGAGACGUUCGGCGAAUUGGAAGCCUAGCGUUUGGGACUAUGGCUUUGUGCAGUCACUCAAUACUGAUUUCCCGGUAAUGAUUCUCUUUUCUUUUCUUUUUUCCAGCACACAACCCAACCUAGCUGAAUGUAUGAUGCGCAUGUGUACUUGCGAAUUAGAUUUAUUAUCGAUAUAUAGGCGAGAGCUCAACAGAGCUUACUCACAUGUUUUUGGAAAUAGCAUGAGGAUCGAUCUGUUUCAAUACAAGAAAAAAUGUUCAACUCUGCUUGUGCAUUAACUUUGACUAAGAUCUCAUUUUUCUGAGUUUAUCGUGUGCCUAGGUGGAUAAAUAUACAGAGCAAGUUCAAAGGUUGAAGGAAGAAGUCAAGGGUCUAUUCCACAGCGAGAUGAAUCAGGUGGCCAAGCUCAAGUUCAUUGACGUGGUUCAAAGAUUAGGACUAGGAUACCAUUUCGAGACGGAGAUCAAUAACUCUCUCAGCUCCAUCUAUAACAACACUAAAGAUGUUCAACUUUUGGACAAUCUCUACGCCAUUUCCCUUCGGUUCUGACUACAGAGGCAACAUGGAUACAACGUACCGCAAGGUAGUUGCCACUAGCUAUCCUUUUGCGAAUAAUGUUGACACGUCAAGAUUUAUCUUACCAUUCCUUUUGUUGGACGUACAGAUGUCUUUCAAAGGUUUAUGAACAAGAAGGGUAUGUUCAAUGAAUCGCUCAAGAAGGAUGUGAGGGGGCUUCUUAGUCUUUAUGAGGCUUCUUUCCAUGGAUUGGAAGGUGAAACCAUAAUUGAUGAAGCUUGGAACUUUGCUUCAAAGCAUCUGAAGGAUCUAAACCUCGACGAAGUUCCCGCUAAUCUAGCGAGCCAUGUGAGUCAUGCAAUAGAUAUGUCAAUCCAUUGGAGGCCAAACAGGUUAGAGGCUCGCUGGUUCAUGCACAUGUAUGAGAAACAGCAAGACAGAAUCCCUUCUUUGCUACGAUUGGCUAAAUUAGACUUUAAUAUAGUGCAAUCAAUCCAUAAGAAGGAAGUCAGCAACUUGGCAAGGUAUACACCAGCACUCCAUACAUAGAUGAUAGAUGCAUUUGAAGUGAGGAUUUAAAUUCAUGCAAAUGUGAUACACGGAGGAGCGCAAUUUGAUCGACUUAGUCAUCACAUUGCAAAUUUUUCAGAUGGUGGGUUGAACUUGGAGCAAAUAAGAUGACCUUCUGUAGGGAUAGGCUAGUGGAACACUAUUUUUGGUGUUGUGCAAUGGUUUUUGAGCCUCAAUAUACAGCGUUCAGAGACAUGACGACAAAGCUCACUUGUAUGGUAACACUUAUCGAUGACAUUUAUGAUGUGUAUGGAACGUUGGAAGAGCUUGAGGUCCUAACAGAUUUCAUUGU